UUCUUCUGUUGGAAGUGCACUGCCACGGAGGCGCUGCUGUGCAUAUAUUACAAUUGGAAUGAUAUGCAUCUUCAUUGGAGUUGGAUUAACUGUUGGUACACAAGAUUUCGCCAGGCGAUUUCACGCAACAUACGUUUCUUGGGCUAUUGCUUAUCUCUUAGGUUUAAUCUGCCUCAUUCGGGCCUGCUACUGGGGAGCCAUUAAAGUCAGUUAUCCAGAGCACAGUUUUGCGUAGAUAAAUUGUUAGAUUAUAGCGGGUGAAGAUCUAGUAAUUCUGGAUAUUACAUCUUGGACACUUUUAAAACCUUUCCUGUAAGGAUUCCAUUCUGUUCAAAGUAGUUUAAGACUGGGGGUCUCUAAGAACAAAUGUUCAUUGCACUACAUAAUAUGCAAAUAGUUUGUUUUGCUGCUAGAUUCCCUAGCUCUGAAUAUUAAAGCUGUGUUUACAUGUUCAUAACUCUGUCUUUAUAGGUGUUGAAUUUUAUUUCAACAGACAGUAUUAAGUUUUACAUUUCCUUUCUUAUGUUAAAAUCCGUCUGCCAUUUUUCUAGAUGAUCAGUAAGAAUUCAAAAGCAGGAGUGUUUAUAAGUGUUUCUACAGUAGCUUCACAUUUGUACUUAACAUUUUAACUGAAAUUAAAGUGGCUUGCUUUAAAACCUAAGCAAUAAGCAUUUUGCUUGAACUGCUUACUGUAUCUUUUGCCUGAGAUCAUAGUGACCUUAUUCAGGAAGUGAAAGUUAUGAGUGUAUUUUAAAAGACUGACACUGUUGCUAGAGAGACAUUUGUAAACACUGUAUGCUUUGAGAUUUUUCAGGUAGAGAGAUGCUAUUUUGGUAGUCCAAUUAAAUUUCCAUUGAUCUAGGAUUGGAUUGCAGUUAGGAUAAAUACUUUCUUCUCAAGGAUCCUGGGACUUAGGUGUUUGGUUUUGGUGUUUUUUAACUGGCAAAUCCUAAAAGCCAUGCUCGGAUUAUGGAACUUAACUCUGGUUAUUCAUACAAGUUCCUUUACAGGGUCUAAGGGAAGCAUUUCAUAUGACUUGUUUCGUAAUACUUCAGUGUCACAUAGGUGACAAUAAGAUGGUGAUGGGUUGCCUCUUACUUUCCUCUGAUCGUGUCACACUUUCCCUCUUUGGGAGAGUUGUGAACUGGUCACUGCAAAGGGAGACACUGUAAAUUCACAUUAACUGCUGUAAUAAGAAAAUGAGUAAACUAUUACUUGGACAAUUCCAUCAAAGUACAUCUAGUCAAUUUAGCAAUGACUUGCUAAGAGAAUACGGAAACAGAAAGCUUUUUCUAAUGAUGUAUUCACAAAGGAUUGAGGGACCAGUUCUUGCACUGCCCAUCUUUAUAGUUUUAAACAAGUUUUUGCUAAAUUUGGAAGGAAUGUCCUGAGUGAUUUAGAUGACUGUAGUAAUUUAGAAAAUGGGGUCAGAUGGGUAAAUUAAUGUGGAUGUUUCAGGGAUACAUGUAAUUUAAAUAUCUAUGUUCCUGCUAGGACAAAAUGAUAUUCAGAUAAGGAUUUUGGAGCACAAUAAAUGUAAAUGAUCAAACUGUAAAUGAUCUGUCUUUGUAUGAUGCUAAAUGUAUAAAAGCAGUAGCUCAGGAUUACAAUGUACCUUUUACAAAUAAACUAAUAAAGAAAUAAAGAUUAUUAUUCAAAC